rnacentral:rRNA from 1 species
GCAGGGUAUUGCCCUAGUAACGGCGAGUGAAGCGGCAACAGCUCAAAUUUGAAAUCUGGCUCUUUUAGAGUCCGAGUUGUAAUUUGCAGAGGGCGCUUUGGCUUUGGCAGCGGUCCAAGUUCCUUGGAACAGGACGUCACAGAGGGUGAGAAUCCCGUACGUGGUCGCUGGCUAUUGCCGUGUAAAGCCCCUUCGACGAGUCGAGUUGUUUGGGAAUGCAGCUCUAAAUGGGAGGUACAUUUCUUCUAAAGCUAAAUAUUGGCCAGAGACCGAUAGCGCACAAGUAGAGUGAUCGAAAGAUGAAAAGCACUUUGGAAAGAGAGUCAAACAGCACGUGAAAUUGUUGAAAGGGAAGCGCUUGCAGCCAGACUUGCUUACAGUUGCUCAUCCGGGUUUCUACCCGGUGCACUCUUCUGUAGGCAGGCCAGCAUCAGUUUGGGCGGUAGGAUAAAGGUCUCUGUCACGUACCUCCUUUCGGGGAGGCCUUAUAGGGGAGACGACAUACUACCAGCCUGGACUGAGGUCCGCGCAUCUGCUAGGAUGCUGGCGUAAUGGCUGUAAGCGGCCCGUCUUGAAACACGGACCAAGGAGUCUAACAUCUAUGCGAGUGUUUGGGUGUCAAGCCCGAGCGCGUAAUGAAAGUGAACGGAGGUGGGAACCCGCAAGGGUGCACCAUCGACCGAUCCUGAUGUCUUCGGAAGGAUUUGAGUAAGAGCAUGGCUGUUGGGACCCGAAAGAUGGUGAACUAUGCUUGAAUAGGGUGAAGCCAGAGGAAACUCUGGUGGAGGCUCGCAGCGGUUCUGACGUGCAAAUCGAUCGUCAAAUUUGGGCAUAGGGGCGAAAGACUAAU